rnacentral:lncRNA from 13 species
CCAGAGUUCCCAAGCAACCAAUACACAACAAAAGAAUAAUGAUUCUGUCACAUAUGUUUUUGCUAAUUCUUUAAAACUAGUUUUUUGUUUUUUUUUUUGAGUCAGGGUCUCACUCUGUUACCCAGGCUGGAAUGCAGUGGUGAGAUCUUGGCUUACCACAAUCUUCACCUCCCAGGCUCAAGCGUUUCUCUCAUUUCAGCCUCCUGAGUAGCUGGGACUACAGACGCAAGCCACCACCAAGCCUGGCUAAUUUUUGUAUUUUUUUGUAGAGACGGGGUUUCGCCAUGUUGCCCAGGUUGGUCUUGAACUCCUGGAUUAAAGUGAUCCUCUGGCUUCAGUCUCCCAAAGUGCUGGGAUUUCAGGCAUGAGCCACCACACCCAACCUUUGCUAAUUCUGUAAGUCUCUGUUGGGAGAUAAUUAUCCUUGGGUCGCUUCUGUUUCUGCAUGUCUUAAGACUAGAGACACAGAUUGCCUUUGUUCUAGACUAUCUUUUCAAGGAUAUUUGUACUGCAAAUCGUUUUGGAAGAUGUAGUAUCUCUGUCCAGAGCAAAAGGUAGGUUUGUUAAAUGACUAGGAUUAUAAAAUAUUGUCUGCCUAGAAGGCAAAGUUCAGGUAGGCUUAUCGUCCAUUACAAAAGCUCCAGGUCCCCAAAGCUUCACGUUCUUCCCUUGUGAUGCAACGCGUUACCUGUGCAGGACAUCACCUGGCCCACAUUACAUUGUCCUGUGGGAGUUACAGCUUAGAGAACUGGUGUCAAUGCUGAUACUCUGGCUCCCACUAUUGUCUGAGUAAUAACUUCUCCUUUGUCCCUGACCCAGGAGUCUUGCGCCUUCUGCCAGCAUACAAAAAACUGUGGCAGACCGAGUUAUACACUUAAAAAUAGGAUAAAAUCUCAGACUCCACAGUUCUUGAACAUUUCCUCCAUCCUGAAGCAGCAGAAACUCCCCUGGACUGAAAGUUCCAAUAAGACCUUUUGGGAGGUGUUACCCACGGCAAUGACAGCUGUGAAGUCAUUGCCUCUGACACAUCCUUCUCUACUAGUCAUCCUAAGGGGAAAACAAUAAGGGGGGGAGAAGAAACUCUUAUAGGUGGAAGAAUAAACAAUAAAAACAAUGCUAUUGAUGGUGAUGAGGAGGAGGGUCAUGAGGAUGAUUAUGAUGUCAAUGAGCAGGGUGACAGCAAGGUUGAUGAUGGUGACAAUAGGGAUGAUGAUGAUGUUGAUGAGGAUGACAGUAACGACAAUCAUUUCCAAAGCAGCCACCAUUUGCUGAGCCCUUCCUGCCUGUGGCUGGAACCUACCCCCUAACAAGGGGCUGCCUGGCUCCUGCAUCUGAGCGCUGAUCCUCCAUGCUGUGGUGUUUAUCCUCUGCUCCUGGUGGGACCCAUCAUUUCCAGGUGAUUGACAAGAGUGGUGAGUGUUUGUUUCAGUAAGGUGCUCGGGUUUCAUAAGGAAGCUGAGUUUAAAUAUGGCCCAGCUGUAGACUGUGGUCACAGUGGCCUUGCGGGUAAUGCUGCCAGUGACUCAGUGCAGCACCUUCACUCUAAAGAUGAGGGAACAAAAACCAGAGCAGAGAUAGGACCACCCAGCUCACCCUGCUGGAGAGAAGUGGACUGUACCCACUCUCACAGCCCCGGCCAUCAUGGAAUAUCCACCCUGCAUGAGUACAUCCAAGCAGCUCCCUGGGCAAGACGUUUUGGUGCACCUUAGAGAUGAGGAAGCAAGAGACCCUGAAGGAGUGAUUUUCCCAAAGCCAUAAGCUAAGUUGUCUGGAGAGCAGGGCUAAAUUCCAUAUGUCUGUGCUGUUGUUGGGAGCUAGUUCAUUACACCGCACUCCACAUACUCAACCACA